GCUGUUCAAAGAUGGAUGUGUAUAGUAAAAGUGCCACCACCACGUCGAAAUUCUGAUUGGAAGAUAUUGGAAGAAAAUUUGCGUUUCCAUCAUUGAAAAGUACGGCGUUCUAUGCUUCCAGCAUACUUCAAGUCUGUUGAAAUCGAUGAGUCAACUCAACUUACUUUCCCUGGGAUUAUUCGUCAUAAAAAUGAUAACAAGCCUACAAUUUACACUUGGCAAUACCAUCUGAUCAUGUAGCCUGAAAAUGCUGUUUCCCAAGAUGUUGUCUCUUGCUGCACAUACCGGCUGUGCGUUUCCUCACAUGUAGAAAUACUUCACAACAGUAAAACAUGGUGAAGUCUGAGAUUCUUCAUUGCAGUCCAAUGUGCUGUGCCAGUGUGAUUUGUUGCAGCCAGCUGGCGAAAGGUGUUCCUCUUGCAGGCUGACUUGUUACCAGUACCAUUUGUAUGUUUGUCAUGCAGAAACACACACUUAAAGUGCUGAUGUUGUCCUGGAGUGUGGGAGAGUUCCAUGCUUCAAGUCUUCUGGGAUCAGCCAUAUCUGAGUUGAUGCUGGAUCAUGCUGCAUUGAGGUUGCCGAAAUGUGGACAUCUAGUAGAACUGCAAGAAGACUUCUUGAAAUGGUUUAUGUUUACGUAGCAGUGAUGUUGCUGUCCAAUAUGGCAUGUUGUUGCAGCCUAUAGACUGGUGACAGAUUUUUUGCAUCGAGCUAUGCUGUUGCUGUUCCUUGGUGCCGGACUGCUGGUGUGGUGCACAAAAGUUACAUCCAGUUUUAAUUGUUGUUUGUGUCUAAAUGCAGUUAACCGUUUAUAUGUUGAAAAGGAACAGAAAAGUUCCUUGGAGUUGAAUCGCUGUUGUUUCUAUGAAGUUAACCGUUUAUAUGUUGAGAAUGAAAAAAAAUUAGUAAUACGGGGAAUAUUUACGUUGAAAAAAUAAUAAACAUGCCUUCGCGGUUGGGAAAUCAGCGAGGAGGAGAUUGGGGGUGGGGGUGGGUAAUUGAUUUUCAUUAAUUAGAAAAAGUCGUUUUUUUUAAUAAGGUAGAAAAUCCUUUGUCUAUAACAUCCAUAUACCUACCUAUAUAACCACAUCUAUUCCUCAAACUCCAUAACCUCCACCAACAUCCAUUCCUUAAACUCCCAUUUCCCCUCAAAUGUCAAAUAUCUGUAAUAUGUACAUGUUAUUGUUCAAUAAAUAAACCAACUUUAUGCUAUGUAAAA